AGCAUCCUGGCGGCGAGUGGCGAACGGGUGAGUAAUACAUCGGAACGUGUCCUGUAGUGGGGGAUAGCCCGGCGAAAGCCGGAUUAAUACCGCAUACGAUCUACGGAUGAAAGCGGGGGAUCGCAAGACCUCGCGCUAUAGGGGCGGCCGAUGGCGGAUUAGCUAGUUGGUGGGGUAAAGGCCCACCAAGGCGACGAUCCGUAGCUGGUCUGAGAGGACGACCAGCCACACUGGGACUGAGACACGGCCCAUACUCCUACGGGAGGCAGCAGUGGGGAAUUUUGGACAAUGGGCGCAAGCCUGAUCCAGCAAUGCCGCGUGUGUGAAGAAGGCCUUCGGGUUGUAAAGCACUUUUGUCCGGAAAGAAAUCCUCUGGGUUAAUACCCCGGGGGGAUGACGGUACCGGAAGAAUAAGCACCGGCUAACUACGUGCCAGCAGCCGCGGUAAUACGUAGGGUGCGAGCGUUAAUCGGAAUUACUGGGCGUAAAGCGUGCGCAGGCGGUGAUGUAAGACCGAUGUGAAAUCCCCGGGCUUAACCUGGGAACUGCAUUGGUGACUGCAUCGCUGGAGUAUGGCAGAGGGGGGUAGAAUUCCACGUGUAGCAGUGAAAUGCGUAGAGAUGUGGAGGAAUACCGAUGGCGAAGG
rnacentral:rRNA from 1 species